rnacentral:rRNA from 1 species
UACGUAGGGCGCAAGCGUUAUCCGGAAUUAUUGGGCGUAAAGAGCUCGUAGGCGGUCUGUCGCGUCGGUCGUGAAAACUUGGGGCUUAACCCUGAGCUUGCGGUCGAUACGGGCAUGACUGGAGUUCGGCAGGGGAGACUGGAAUUCCUGGUGUAGCGGUGAAAUGCGCAGAUAUCAGGAGGAACACCGGUGGCGAAGGCGGUUCUCUGGGCAUUACCUGACGCUGAGGAGCGAAAGUGUGGGGAGCGAACAGG